GAUGAACGCUGGCGGCGUGCCUAAUACAUGCAAGUCGAGCGAACAGACGAUGAGCUUGCUCCUCUGACGUUAGCGGCGGACGGGUGAGUAACACGUGUAUAACCUACCUAUAAGACUGGUAUAACUUCUGGAAACCGGAGCUAAUACCGUAUAAUAUAUUGAACCGCAUGGUUCAAUAGUGAAAGACGGUUUUGCUGUCACUUAUAGAUGGAUCCGCGCCGCAUUAGCUAGUUGGUAAGGUAACGGCUUACCAAGGCAACGAUGCGUAGCCGACCUGAGAGGGUGAUCGGCCACACUGGAACUGAGACACGGUCCAGACUCCUACGGGAGGCAGCAGUAGGGAAUCUUACGCAAUGGGCGAAAGCCUGACGGAGCAACGCCGCGUGAGUGAUGAAGGUCUUCGGAUCGUAAAACUCUGUUAUUAGGGAAGAACAAAUGUGUAAGUAACUAUGCACGUCUUGACGGUAACUAAUCAGAAAGCCACGGCUAACUACGUG
rnacentral:rRNA from 1 species